rnacentral:rRNA from 6 species
ACGGGUGCGUAACGCGUGGGAAUCUGCCCUUUGGUUCGGAAUAACAGUUGGAAACGACUGCUAAUACCGGAUGAUGACGUAAGUCCAAAGAUUUAUCGCCAGAGGAUGAGCCCGCGUAGGAUUAGCUAGUUGGUGUGGUAAGAGCGCACCAAGGCGACGAUCCUUAGCUGGUCUGAGAGGAUGAUCAGCCACACUGGGACUGAGACACGGCCCAGACUCCUACGGGAGGCAGCAGUGGGGAAUAUUGGACAAUGGGCGAAAGCCUGAUCCAGCAAUGCCGCGUGAGUGAUGAAGGCCUUAGGGUUGUAAAGCUCUUUUACCCGGGAUGAUAAUGACAGUACCGGGAGAAUAAGCUCCGGCUAACUCCGUGCCAGCAGCCGCGGUAAUACGGAGGGAGCUAGCGUUGUUCGGAAUUACUGGGCGUAAAGCGCACGUAGGCGGCUUUGUAAGUUAGAGGUGAAAGCCUGGAGCUCAACUCCAGAAUUGCCUUUAAGACUGCAUCGCUUGAAUCCAGGAGAGGUGAGUGGAAUUCCGAGUGUAGAGGUGAAAUUCGUAGA